CCCUUAGAUGUUCUGGGCCGCACACGCGCUACACUGGCAGGUUCAUCGAGCUUCAUGCCCUGAUCUGAGAAGAACGGGAAAUCUUUGAACACCUGCCGUGCUUGGGAUAGAUGUUUGCAAUUAUUCAUCUUCAACGAGGAUUGCCUUGUAAGCGCACGUCAUCAGCGUGCAUUGAAUACGACCCUGUAUUCUGUACACACCGCCCGUCGCUCCUACCGAUUGAAGUUUUCGGUGAAUUUACUGGAGAUCCCUUUUGAAGGUGGUUCGCCACUGGAAGAAGUAUUCAAGAGUAAAUGAAUCGAAUGCUUUAGAGGAAGGAGAAGUCGUAACA
rnacentral:rRNA from 1 species